ACGGAAGGCAGCAGUGAGGAAUAUUGGUCAAUGGGCGGAAGCCUGAACCAGCCAAGUCGCGUGAAGGAUGAAGGUAUUAUGUAUUGUAAACUUCUUUAGCCAGGGGGCAAUAAGGCGUACGCGUACGCCGAUGAGAGUACCUGGAGAAUAAGGAUCGGCUAACUCCGUGCCAGCAGCCGCGGUAAUACGGAGGCUCCGAGCGUUAUCCGGAUUUAUUGGGUUUAAAGGGUGCGCAGGCGGCUUUUUAAGUCAGUGGUUAAAUCGUGACGCUCAACGUCAUCACGCCAUUGAUACUGGAGAGCUUGAUUGCGGUCGAGGUUUGCGGAAUUCGUCGUGUAGCGGUGAAAUGCAUAGAUAUGACGAAGAACACCGAUUGCGUAGGCAGCAGACCAGGCCGUAAAUGACGCUCAUGCACGAAAGUGCGGGGAUCGAACAGGAUUAGAUACCCUGGUA
rnacentral:rRNA from 1 species